AUUGAACGCUGGCGGCAGGCUUAACACAUGCAAGUCGAGCGGAGAGAGGUAGCUUGCUACCGAUCUUAGCGGCGGACGGGUGAGUAAUGCUUAGGAAUCUGCCUAUUAGUGGGGGACAACAUUUCGAAAGGAAUGCUAAUACCGCAUACGUCCUACGGGAGAAAGCAGGGGAUCUUCGGACCUUGCGCUAAUAGAUGAGCCUAAGUCGGAUUAGCUAGUUGGUGGGGUAAAGGCCUACCAAGGCGACGAUCUGUAGCGGGUCUGAGAGGAUGAGCCGCCACACUGGGACUGAGACACGGCCCAGACUCCUACGGGAGGCAGCAGUGGGGAAUAUUGGACAAUGGGCGGAAGCCUGAUCCAGCCAUGCCGCGUGCGUGAAGAAGGCCUUAUGGUUGUAAAGCACUUUAAGCGAGGAGGAGGCUACUUUAGUUAAUACCUAGAGAUAGUGGACGUUACUCGCAGAAUAAGCACCGGCUAACUCUGUGCCAGCAGCCGCCGUAA
rnacentral:rRNA from 1 species